UGCACUAACUGUAAUUCGCUCUGGAUAAGAGUGUCUGCUAAAUGACUAAAA
rfam:Salmo salar isolate Sally breed double haploid chromosome ssa01, whole genome shotgun sequence.